UACGUAGGUGGCAAGCGUUGUCCGGAAUUAUUGGGCGUAAAGCGCGCGCAGGUGGUUCUUUAAGUCUGAUGUGAAAGCCCACGGCUCAACCGUGGAGGGUCAUUGGAAACUGGGGGAACUUGAGUGCAGAAGAGGAAAGUGGAAUUCCAAGUGUAGCGGUGAAAUGCGUAGAGAUUUGGAGGAACACCAGUGGCGAAGGCGACUUUCUGGUCUGUAACUGACACUGAGGCGCGAAAGCGUGGGGAGCAAACAGG
rnacentral:rRNA from 1 species